GAUUUCUGGUGUGGUGCGCCGCGCCCGCCGCCGUUAGGCGGUGAGUGCUUGUUGUGCGCCUACCAUCCUUCCGGAAAGCGCAUCCUACCCUUAACUGGGCCGGGGUGUGCGAUCUGGAUCGUUUACUUUGAAAAAAUUAGAGUGUUUAAAGCAGGCAUAUGCUAUGAAUACAUUAGCAUGGAAUAAUAAGAUAGGGCUUUGGUUCUAUUUUGUUGGUUUCUAGGACCGAAGUAAUGAUUGAUAGGGACAGUUGGGGGUGCUAGUAUUUAACGGCCAGAGGUGAAAUUCUUGGAUUCGUUAAAGACUAACUUAUGCGAAAGCAUU
rnacentral:rRNA from 1 species